UUGUAUUCUGAGUCACAUUAAGAACCAUGAGUGCUGAAACACAUAUGUCUUCCCAAUAGCUUUUUAGUACUCCUUCACAUGUGAAUUCGAACUUCCGUCCCUUAAGCUACGUCACACGGGUCUCGCCAGUAGAAUAGUCACAGCUAUAUUCCCCUUAGUCAGCAUUUUUUUGCAGAGCUCUUACCCCUUGGAAUUAGUUUCCAGGGCUUUCGUUAGGGCUGUUGCGCGCGCAUGUCAACCGGAAAAAGUUGAUUGAAGGGAAGUAAUUGUAAUUGGUUGAGAAAAACCAAUCAAAAAGUAUGUAUAGAUAUAAGAGUUGUUAUGAUUGGUUUGAAAGCUACUAAUGUAAAACGGAAUAAAAGAGUUUUGUAAAUUGGU